rnacentral:rRNA from 1 species
UACGUAGGGUGUAAGCGUUAAUCGGAAUUACUGGGCGUAAAGCGUGCGCAGGCGGUUUUGUAAGUCUGACGUGAAAUCCCCGGGCUCAACCUGGGAAUUGCGUUGGAGACUGCAAGGCUAGAAUCUGGCAGAGGGGGGUAGAAUUCCACGUGUAGCAGUGAAAUGCGUAGAGAUGUGGAGGAACACCGAUGGCGAAGGCAGCCCCCUGGGUCAAGAUUGACGCUCAUGCACGAAAGCGUGGGGAGCAAACAGG